rnacentral:rRNA from 1 species
GACGAACCGUGCGAACGUUGUUCGGAAUCACUGGGCUUAAAGGGCGCGUAGGCGGACGGCAAAGUCAGGGGGUGAAAUCUUUCGGCCCAACCGGAAAAGGGCCCCUGAUACUGGUCGUCUCGAGGGAGGUAGGGGGUUGGUGGAACUUCCGGUGGAGCGGUGAAAUGCGCAGAUAUCAGGAGGAACACCGGUGGCGAAGGCGGAUCUCUGGGCCAUUACUGACGCUGGAGGAGCGAAAGCGUGGGGAGCGAACAGG